rnacentral:rRNA from 1 species
AUUGAACGCUGGCGGCGUGCUUAACACAUGCAAGUCGAGCGGUAACAGGCGUAGCAAUACGUGCUGACGAGCGGCGAACGGGUGAGUAAUGCUUCGGAAUCUUCCUCGUAGUGGGGAAUAACCUGGGGAAACUCAGGCUAAUACCGCAUACGAACUACGGUUGAAAGCAGGGGAUCGCAAGACCUUGCGCUAUGAGAUGAGCCGAAGUCGGAUUAGCUAGUUGGUGGGGUAAAGGCCUACCAAGGCGACGAUCCGUAGCUGGUCUGAGAGGACGACCAGCCACACUGGAACUGAGACACGGUCCAGACUCCUACGGGAGGCAGCAGUGGGGAAUAUUGGACAAUGGGGGCAACCCUGAUCCAGCGACGCCGCGUGUGUGAAGAAGGCCUGCGGGUUGUAAAGCACUUUUAGUGGGGACAAAAAGCUACAGGCUAAUACCCUGUGGUCUUGAUUUAACCCAAAGAAAAAGCACCGGCUAACUCUGUGCCAGCCGCCGCCGUAAAAC